GAGUUCACCGGGUCGUGUAGGAUGAAGAACCGUAGAGGUUCGAGCAGCGCGCAGCGAUACGACAACGCGCAGCGUUGCCCGCAGGGUGAGGCCACAGGCCGAAUCAAUCCUGCACGACCCACCA
rnacentral:sRNA from 1 species